AACGAACGCUGGCGGCGCGCCUAAUACAUGCAAGUCGAGCGAGAAGACGUAGCAAUACGUUUGUAAAGCGGCGAACGGGUGAGGAAUACAUGGGUAACCUACCCUAGAGUGGGGAAUAACUAGCCGAAAGGUUAGCUAAUACCGCGUACGCUCCUUGGACUUCGGUUCAGGGAGGAAAGCGAUACCGAGGGUAUCGCGCUCCUGGAUGGGCUCAUGUCCUAUCAGCUUGUUGGNGAGGUAACGGCUCACCAAGGCUUCGACGGGUAGCUGGUCUGAGAGGACGAUCAGCCACACUGGCACUGCGACACGGGCCAGACUCCUACGGGAGGCAGCAGUAAGGAAUAUUGCGCAAUGGGCGAAAGCCUGACGCAGCGACGCCGCGUGGGGGAUGAAGGUCUUCGGAUUGUAAACCCCUUUCGGGAGGGAAGAUGGAACGAGCAAUCGUUCGGACGGUACCUCCAGAAGCAGCCACGGCUAACUUCGUGCCAGCAGCCGCGGU
rnacentral:rRNA from 1 species